AACGUAGGAUCCGAGCGUUAUCCGAAUUCACUGGGCGUAAAGCGCGAGUAGGCGGCCGGAUAAGUUGGAUGUAAAAUCUCCCGGCUCAACUGGGAGAGGACGUACAAGACUGUUUGGCUAGAGGGCGAUAGAGGGAAGCGGAAUUCCCGGUGUAGUGGUGAAAUGCGUAGAUAUCGGGAGGAACACCAGAGGCGAAGGCGGCUUCCUGGGUCGUACCUGACGCUGAGAUGCGAAAGCUAGGGGAGCAAACGGG
rnacentral:rRNA from 1 species